AAAAAAAAAAUCAAUGAUACCUAAAAAAUUUAAUAUUUGAAAAACAUUUAUAUCAGCCAGAAUUUAUUUAAGACAGUAAAAAAAAAAUUGUUUGAUAUGGAAUAAGCUUGCAGGAAUCAAACUAAAAUCGGUAAACCACGUCAUUAAAAUUUAAGAAUCCAGAAUAUAAUAUAAUUUUCAAAAAUGGACUACGACUAGAGAUCGGCAUGAUCAUUAUGUCUCACCAUUUCACUUCGUAUCGUGAAAUGUUGGAGAGGGCUCAUGCAAUUUCGUAUCAAAUGACUACAUUUGAACAGUAUUCUCAGUAGAGGAAGGAGUCAUUGGGAAAAAGGAAGUGGAAUGAUCAGAGUAAGGACAAACGUAACUGGCCGAAUAAAAGACCAAGUAUAGGAGUUCGUAUUGGUGGGACAAGUGGGAUUAUUACACCUUGUCCUAAGUGUAAUAAACUCCACAGGGGUGAAUGCUUAUUUGGUAAGAAUAUAUGCUUUCGAUGUAGCAAGCCGGGACACAUUGCCUUACACUGUACAGAACCUCCAAAGAAGGACGAUGAUCAGGACAAUAACAAGAAAGGGAAGGCUCGAGUUUUUGCACUAAACUAGCAUGAGGCGGAGUAGGAUCCGAAUGUGAUAGCAGGUAUGGUAAUAUUAUCUAGAAUACAUAUUUAUGUUCUAAAUUUUACAUCCUUCGGCGCUAAGACUAACACUAUAAUAACGAUAAAUAGGUAUUUUUUUUAUUAUCUGAUGUACCUGCUUACGUACUUUUCGAUUCUGGGGCUACAAAUUCUUUUAUCUUUGCAUCCUUCGUCGCUAGGUCAAACUUUGCAUGUGUGAAAAUGAAUUAUGAAUUUCAGGAAGAACUCUUUGUACAAACCAGAUGACUAAGACUAUGAAGUUAGAGAUUGACGGAAAAAUAUUACAUGCUAACUUAUAACUUUUGGAGAUGAAAGAUUUCGAUGUCACGAGAAAAAAGUAUUAUUUUACAGAUCGGGAGAGGAAGAAUUCCGUUUCUUUGGAGCAAAGUUAUUCAAGCGGAAAAGAUGUUGAAAAAUGAGUCAUGUCAAGGAUUUCUAGUUAAUAUCACUAGUUCCCAAUCUAUAGAAAUGACUUUUAACGAUAUUAACAUCGUGCGAGACUUUGUAGAUGUAUUCCUCGAAGAGUUACCGAGCAUUCCACAAGAUAGGCAAGUUGAAUUUACAAUUGAUUUGGUUCCUAGAGCAGCACCAGUAUCCAAGGCCCUGUACCGAAUGACACAAAGGAACUUCAAGAAUUGAAGUUGCAAUUAGAAGAGUUGCUGGAGAAAGGUUUCAUUCGACCAAGUGUAUCUUCUUG
rnacentral:lncRNA from 1 species